UAAAACGAAAAGCUCUGUUUUUGUUUCCCUAAAAAAAACUGAAAACAUGGCUGAAACAGAAGAAAUUCAAAAGACAAAGAAAUCUUUCCGAAAGUUCACCUUUCGGGAAGUUGAUCUUGAUUAAUUUCUUGAUAUGCCAAAUGAACAGCUUAUGGUUUUAACGCAUGCUCAUGUUCG